rnacentral:rRNA from 1 species
UACGUAGGGUGCGAGCGUUAAUCGGAAUUACUGGGCGUAAAGCGUGCGCAGGCGGUGCUGUAAGACCGAUGUGAAAUCCCCGGGCCUAACCUGGGAACUGCAUUGGUGACUGCAGCGCUGGAGUAUGGCAGAGGGGGGUGGAAUUCCACGUGUAGCAGUGAAAUGCGUAGAGAUGUGGAGGAACACCGAUGGCGAAGGCAGCCCCUGGGCCAAUACUGACGCUCAUGCACGAAAGCGUGGGGAGCAAACAGG